AGCUUUUCAAAUCCGUGCUGAGAUUUCAUCAGACACCAAUCCAUUAGGGCUGAUCAAACUCUCAAGAUAAGUGAAGUU
rfam:Schistosoma mattheei strain Denwood, Zambia genome assembly, scaffold: SMTD_scaffold0006523